UACGUAGGGGGCAAGCGUUGUCCGGAUUUAUUGGGCGUAAAGAGCGUGUAGGCGGCCAGGUAGGUCUGCUGUGAAAACUCGAGGCUUAACCUCGAGCUGUCGGCGGAAACCAUCUGGCUAGAGUCCGGAAGAGGAGAAUGGAAUUCCCGGUGUAGCGGUGAAAUGCGUAGAUAUCUGGAGGAACACCGGUGGCGAAGGCGGCAUCCUGGACCGGUAUUGACGCUGAGGCGCGAAAGCUAGGGGAGCAAACGGG
rnacentral:rRNA from 1 species